UACGUAGGGGGCAAGCGUUGUCCGGAAUCAUUGGGCGUAAAGGGCUCGUAGGCGGCCCGGUAAGUCGGAUGUGAAAGCCCGAGGCUCAACCUCGGAAUGGCAUUCGAAACUGUCGGGCUUGAGGCAGGUAGAGGAGAGUGGAAUUCCCGGUGUAGCGGUGGAAUGCGCAGAUAUCGGGAGGAACACCAGUAGCGAAGGCGGCUCUCUGGGCCUGUUCCUGACGCUGAGGAGCGAAAGCGUGGGUAGCAAACAGG
rnacentral:misc_RNA from 1 species